GAUGAACGCUGGCGGCGUGCUUAACACAUGCAAGUCGAACGAAGCACUUUAUUUGAUUUCCUUCGGGACUGAUUAUUUUGUGACUGAGUGGCGGACGGGUGAGUAACGCGUGGGUAACCUGCCUUGUACAGGGGGAUAACAGUUGGAAACGGCUGCUAAUACCGCAUAAGCGCACGGCAUCGCAUGAUGCAGUGUGAAAAACUCCGGUGGUAUAAGAUGGACCCGCGUUGGAUUAGCUAGUUGGUGAGGUAACGGCCCACCAAGGCGACGAUCCAUAGCCGGACUGAGAGGGUGACCGGCCACAUUGGGACUGAGACACGGCCCAAACUCCUGCGAGAGGCAGCAGUGGGGACUAUUGCACAAUGGGCGAAAGCCUGAUGCAGCGACGCCGCGUGAGCGAAGAAGUAUUUAGGUAUGUAAAGCUCUAUCAGCAGGGAAGAUAAUGACGGUACCUGACUAAGAAGCACCGGCUAAAUACGU
rnacentral:rRNA from 1 species